UACGUAGGUGGCAAGCGUUGUCCGGAAUUAUUGGGCGUAAAGCGCGCGCAGGCGGUCCUUUAAGUCUGAUGUGAAAGCCCACGGCUCAACCGUGGAGGGUCAUUGGAAACUGGAGGACUUGAGUACAGAAGAGAAGAGUGGAAUUCCACGUGUAGCGGUGAAAUGCGUAGAGAUGUGGAGGAACACCAGUGGCGAAGGCGGUUGCCUGGAGCUUUGCUGACGCUGAGGCGCGAAAGCGUGGGGAGCGAUCCGG
rnacentral:rRNA from 1 species